rnacentral:rRNA from 1 species
ACUGCUCAGUAACACGUGGACAACCUACCCUAUGGAGGGGGAUAACCCCGGGAAACUGGGGAUAAUACCCCAUAGACUAUGGAAGCUGGAAUGCUCUGUAGUUGAAAGGUCCGCCGCCAUAGGAUGGGUCUGCGGCCGAUUAGGUUGUUGUUGGGGUAACGGCCCAACAAGCCUGUAAUCGGUACGGGUUGUGGGAGCAAGAGCCCGGAGAUGGAUUCUGAGACACGAAUCCAGGCCCUACGGGGCGCAGCAGGCGCGAAAACUUUACAAUGCGGGAAACCGUGAUAAGGGAACUCCGAGUGCCCGUAAAAUCGGGCUGUCCAUCUGUUUAAAUAACAGGUGAAGAAAGGGCCGGGCAAGACCGGUGCCAGCCGCCGCGGUAAUACCGGCGGCUCGAGUGGUGGCCACUAUUACUGGGCUUAAAGCGUUCGUAGCUGGUCUGUUAAGUCUCUGGGGCAAUCUACUGGCUUAACCAAUAGACGUUUCAGGGAUACUGGCAGACUAGGGACCGGGAGAGGUGAGAGGUACUCCAGGGGUAGGAGUGAAAUCCUGUAAUCCUUAGGGGACCACCUGUGGCGAAGGCGUCUCACCAGAACGGCUCCGACAGUGAGGGACGAAAGCUGGGGGAGCAAACCGGAUUAGAUACCCGGGUAGUCCCAGCCGUAAACGAUGUGCGUUAGGUGUAUCGAUGACCACGAGUCAUCGAGGUGCCGAAGAGAAAUCGUGAAACGUACCGCCUGGGAAGUACGGUCGCAAGGCUGAAACUUAAAGGAAUUGGCGGGGGAGCAC